rnacentral:lncRNA from 1 species
GGAAGUUGGUCGGAUGAUUACUUGCAGAGUCUCAAAUCUCAACUGACAAAUUAACCUAAGAACUAUUCCACGAAAUAAAGUAGAAGCAGCAUGCCUUGUAGAGAAGCCGUGGUAUAAUGUAUUAUACUUUAAUAUUAAUAUUGUAUUUUACACAGAAUUUCUGCGAACUGCAUGAAUACUGAUGAUUCCAAGCCUAAACAAGAGGGGGAGUACAAUCACAACACUCUGGAGAUUAGGUGCUUAAAGCUUUCGAAAACGGCAGCCCGCUUUGUUACUGUGGCCGGUUCCUGGCUGGGAACAGGCUCCUUUUCGGCACUACCUACUUGAUACGUGUGAUGUUGUCACAAACAUCUAGAAAAAACAUUAGUUCUCAGGAAAAGAAUAACAGGAGACACGUAUAUUGCCAUAUGAAAACAAGUAUACAUACGUGUGUAUGCAUGUGUAUAUUUGUACAAAUUAUGACCCCCUCGAAAACCUAUGAUCAGUGUCUCAAAUAUUAACAUUACAGAUAGUAUUCCAUCAUUCCUGACUGCAACUGACAGGAGUUUCACUGAGAAGUGAGGAUCGGAGCUUUGGUGACUCAGCUCUUUGUAGUCACCCCAGCAGGGUGUGUCAUAUGAGGGCCACGGAGCAUGCAUCAUCCUGAGGAAGGUGUUUAAAACCAGCUCCCCUCGAUGAGACAAUCUCAGCGCUCCCUCUAGCUAAACCUGGCCUUAUUGCCCUAACUCUAGUACACCAGAUUUAAAUAUGCUUCACAUAAAAUACAUUUGUCAAAAAGUACUAGAAAUUAAGCACUUAGAAGCAACAUCCAACUUAUUAAUGAAACUAUAAUUUUUCCUCAAUAUCUCAGCAAUGAUGAAGUAAACUAACUUUAGGGUAGACGUUAAAGCGUUAUUUGCCAUACAUUUUUGCAAUUCUAGCCCUCUUUAAACCUACUUGCAGAAAGUUAUUAGCCCCAAUGUCCAUAAAAUCCUUCUAAAAGAAGCUAAUUCUUCUUCCCCAGCACCCAAA